rnacentral:tRNA from 1 species
CAAGAAGUAGUUUAACUAGAACGCCAGCUUUGGGUGUUGGUGAUGGGGGAAUAGUCCUUCCUUCUUGA